rnacentral:rRNA from 1 species
AGCGAACGCUGGCGGCAGGCCUAACACAUGCAAGUCGAACGAACCUUUCGGGGUUAGUGGCGGACGGGUGAGUAACACGUGGGAACGUGCCUUUAGGUUCGGAAUAACUCAGGGAAACUUGUGCUAAUACCGAAUGUGCCCUUCGGGGGAAAGAUUUAUCGCCUUUAGAGCGGCCCGCGUCUGAUUAGCUAGUUGGUUGAGGUAAUGGCUCACCAAGGCGACGAUCAGUAGCUGGUCUGAGAGGAUGAUCAGCCACAUUGGGGCUGGGACGCGGCCCAAACUCCUACGGGAGGCAGCAGUGGGGGAUCUUGCGCAAUGGGCGAAAGCCUGAAGCAGCCAUGCCGCGUGAAUGAUGAAGGUCUUAGGAUUGUAAAAUUCUUUCACCGGGGCCGAUAAUGACGGUACCCGGAGAAGAAGCCCCGGCUAACUUCGUG